rnacentral:rRNA from 1 species
UGUUAUGGCCAUACCACCCUGAACCCACCUGAUCUUGUGUGAUCUCAGAAGCUAAGCAGAAUUGGGCCUGGUUAGUAUCUGGAUGGGAGACCCCUGGCACCUUUUUUC